AUGUGUCGGGGUUCCCCUGGCAGUUCUGGGGUUCCCCUGGCAAUUCUGGGGUUGCCCUGGCAGUUCUGGGGUUCCCCUGGCAAUUCUGGGGUUCCCCUGGCAGUUCUGGGGUUCCCCUGGCAGUUUUGGGGUUCCCCUGGUAGUUCUGGGGUUCCCUUGGCAGUGCCAGGGGUGCCCUGGAUGAGUCUGGGGUUCCCUGGCAGUUCUGGGGGUUCCCUGGGUAGGUCUGGGGUGCCUUGGGUAGAUCUGGGGUUCCCCUGGCAGUUCUGGGGUUCCCUGGCAGUUCUGGGGUUCCCCUGGCAGUUUUGGGGUUCCCUUGGCAGUGCCAGGGGUGCCCUGGAUGUGUCUGGGUUCCCCUGGCAGUUUUGGGGCUCCCCUGGAAGUUCUGGGGUCCCCUGGAUGUGUCUGAGGGUGCCCUGGAUGUGUCUGGGGUUCCCCUGGCAGUUUUGGGGUUCCCUUCGCAGUUCUGGGAUUCCCCUGGAAGUUCUGGGGUCCCCUGGCAGUGCUGGGGUUCCCUUGACAGUUCUGGGGUUCCCUUGGCAGUUUUGGGGUUCCCCUGGCAGUUCUGGGGUUCUGGAGGCCCAGGAUCCAGCACAGGGAGCGCAGACAGCAGCAGGUCCGUGGGCAGAGCAGCUUCCCGCGUGGGUUUGUUCAGCCUGGGCACUCGAAUCCUGUUCAGCACCUGAAAAUAUUCGUUUUUCUGGCUGCUCUCUGCUGCUCCAGGGGAAAAUCCAGAGCCAGCUCCAUGCCUGCUGCGGCCUUGCAUGUGUCAGCAUUAAAAAUCCCAUUUUUGGGGAGGAUUUUGGGCGUUGCUUCUCCUCCCGAUCUGGUUUUGGGAAGCUCCGCGUGAUCAGUUCCUUAGAAAACAUAAUUUAUUUUAUAUUUUUUUUUUUUUUUUAGGGGGUUUUGGGAAGUUAGCCCAAAGUUGUGUUUAUAAAAGGUGUCUUGGUGGUAGAGAAAUUUCCUGUAGCCCAACUGGGGAAAAAUGGCAUUAAACUAAUUUUAUUUAAUAUGACCUAAAUUAAAUACUUUGGGGUUGGGUGUUUUUCUUUUUUUAAUUUUAUUUUUUUUGUCCGAUUCACAAAGCUUUUCCUAUUUUCCUAAAACAGAUCCCUAUUUUCUUUGGGAAUAGGACAUCAAACUGAUGCAGAGCUUCAAAAAGCUGAUGCUUUACUAAAUCCCAUUUGCUUUCCACAUCAUCAAUUAACAGAAUUUGCUAAUUUGCACUGACUGGGAGACCUGCUGCCAACCCCAAAAACUUGGUGCUGGUGAAUAAAAGCACAGGAAGUUCAGGUAGAGCUCAUUCCGCGUGCCUGCAAUGUGGGAAAAAUGUCAAAAAACAUCUGAAAUUUUAGGGUGCUAUGAGUGCAAAAUCGUCUCUGGGCAUAAAGGUUCAGGGGGGAAAUGGGGCUGAGGGGUUUUGGUGUGGAAGAGAGGAUUUAGGGACGUUCUGCUGGGUCAGGUCUGGUGUCAUUUGUCUGCCUGCAACAGGGUCUGGCCCUCGUGUUUGAGAUGGCAGAAUUUAAUUGUUCCAGCCCUAAAGUGCUCCAGAGACUCAGCAAUGUCCCAGCUGGGGGAUGCUGCUGUGGGGAGGUGAAUUAAACUGGGAAAUCUGAUUUAAAAUCCCGGGGAAAAGGAGCUUGGGAGGCUCUUGGCCUCAGGAAUUCCUGGAGGUGAAUUAAAAUUUGGAAAUCUGAUUUAAAACCCCAGGAAAAAGGAGCUUGGGAGGCUCUUGGCCUCAGGAAUUCCUGGAGGUGAAUUAAAAUUUGGAAAUCUGAUUUAAAACCUCAGGAAAAAUGAGCUUGGGAGACUUUUGGCCUCAAGAAUUCCUGGAGAUUAAUUAAAAUUGAGAAUCUGAUUUAAAAUCCCAGGAAAAAGGAGCUUGGGAGGCUCUUGGCCUCAGGAAUUCCUGGAGGUGAAUUAAAAUUUGGAAAUCUGAUUUGAAACCUCAGGAAAAAAGAGUUUGGGAGGCUCUUGGCCUCAAGAAUUCCUGGAGGUGAAUUAAAAUUUGUGAAUCUGAUUUAAAACCCCAGGAAAAAGGAGCUUGGGAGACUUUUGGCCUCAAGAAUUCCUGGAGAUUAAUUAAAAUUGAGAAUCUGAUUUAAAACCUCAGGAAAAAUGAGCUUGGGAGGCUCUUGGCCUCAGGAAUUCCUGGAGGUGAAUUAAAAUUUGGAAAUCUGAUUUAAAACCUCAGGAAAAAAGAGUUUGGGAGGCUCUUGGCCUCAGGAAUUCCUGUGGGAUUUGAUCCUUGGGGAUCCCUCCCAGCCUGAGGGGUUCUGUGGGGUGGUUAAACUUUUUUUUUUUGGGGUUUUUGGGAGCGAAAAUUGGAGUUCACCUUCCCUGGAGCAUCCCCCAAGCUGCCAAGCAGAGGGAGAGGUGGGAAGGGACGGAAAGGUCAGGAAGAGGGUUUGGGGUGAGGUAGUGACAGAGGCUGCUGAGCUCCCACAGUUAUUCCAGUUAUUCCCUGCAGGCUUGGAGACAUCAUUUAAAAAAAACCACAACAAAAAAAAAACCUAAAAUAAAGUUGCUGCGCUUUGGGAUGAAUUUGGGAGCUGUGGGGAUGGUGAUGGCCAGGACAGGAAAUUGUUCCUUGGGAUGUGGGAAUCGUCACCUCGGUGGGAUUGGUGCUGCGGGAAAUCCCCGUUUGUGGCCGAGCUCACCUGGGGCCAGGUGUGGAUGGAGCGUCCAACCCCUCCCCAUGUCUGCACUGACCCUCCCAGUGCCUCAGCAGCUGGAAAUUGGGAUUAUCCCAGGAGAUUCCAGCUGCUCACGCGGCACAGGCUCCCAGGGAUGUUGGUUUGGGUAAGGAAAGGUCUGGGGAAAAAAAAAACCCAAAAAAGUUAAAAAUCCACAGGAUUUCUUCUGAUGCUCAGAUAACCUCGACUGAGCUGGAUCUGGGUGAUCUCUGAGGUCCCUUCCAACCCAAAGCAUCCCGGGCUUCCCUGACUCCUUGCCGUGGUCGGGGGAGUUUUUUAAGGAAUUUUUUUUAGGAAAAGCCUGGAAAGGAGGGAAUUGGGUGAAUCCCACAGGAGCUGCAGCAGUGAUGAUGAUGAUGAUGAUGGGCUGGCCAUGGGGGGUUGUGGGUUAAUUCCUUUUAAUUCCUGGAUCUCUCACUCCAGCCAAGGCUCAGACACGGAGCUGCUGCAGGGGGGAGUGGUGGUGUCCGAAAUCUGGCUGAAAAUCAGCAUCUUUAGGCAUAAAAAGUAUUUUCUGUGGGUUUGUUUUUUUCAUUCUGAUUUCCAUAUUUCACCCCACGGCGCAGGUGAAGCUGUCAGCAAUGAAUUUGUACAGAUCCUUUCCCAAAGGAACUCCCCCCCUCUUAUCUCCUUUUACUUUAAUAUUUUAUCCAAUAAUAUUUUAACAGUUUAAUUUUAUUUUAACAAUAGGAAUUUCAGAGUUGCAAAGGCUCUUUCUAAAUUUAUUGACUUGGAGGAAACCCCCCCUUGUUGAUACCAUAAAUACUCAUCUUGAUCUAGAUGAAUUUCUUAUUUUUGCACCAGAAUCCCUAAUUUCUUUUGCAGUAUGAAGUGCACUUUUUCAUAAAAAAAAAAAAACAAACUUGUAUUCCUGCCUGAUGAGUGUCUUACGUGCUGAAAGGGAAAUUCUGCCAAAACCCCAGAGCUGAGGGCGUUGUUAAUUCUUCAAGGUGUUCACUAAAACCCGGGAACAAACCAGUUUAUUUUUAAGGCAAAACAGGGAAGGAAACGCCUCCCCGCAGAUGGGAAUGGAUGGUGGGAAAUGAAACUGCCGCUGCCCUUACAGAAAAACUCCGAUUCAGAUUCCACCUUCGGGCCCUCGACUGCACCAGCCUCUUCAAUCGCAAAUGUUUACUCUGACGAUCAGGGAGUGCCUUGGCUGGGAGGCAGCAGGGUGGCGCUGGGGAUGGGUUUACCCAGCGUGGGGUGGGGAAAUUGGGCUGGAAUCCCCGUUCUUGUCCCUGGGUGCUCCUCGGAGGCUGCGCUGGGUUCCCCAGGUGUGCUCACACUCACACGGGCGGCAAGCAGAAUUUGCUGCUCCAUCCUCGCUUUUGGUUGAGUUAACCCAAUUCCUGAGGGUUUUACUCUUCCAUCCUCGCUUUUGGUUGGGUUAACCCAAUUCCUGAUGGUUUUGCUGUUCCCAUCUUCAUUUUUGGUUGGGUUAACCCAAUUCCUGAUGGUUUUACUCUUCCGUCUUCAUUUUUUGUUGAGUUAACCCAAUUCCUGAUUAUUUUGCUGUUCCAUCCUCCCUUCUUGGUUGCGUUAACCCAAUUCCUGAUGGUUUUACUCUUCCAUCCUCAUUUUUGGUUGGGUUAACCCAAUUCCUGAUUUUUUUACUGCUCCAUCUUCAUUUUUGGUUGAGUUAACCCAAUUCCUGAUGGUUUUACUCUUCCAUCCUCAUUUUUGGUUGAGUUAACCCAAUUCCUGAUUAUUUUGCUGUUCCAUCCUCCCUUCUUGGUUGAGUUAACCCAAUUCCUGAUGGUUUUACUCUUCCAUCUUCAUUUUUGGUUGGGUUAACCCAAUUCCUGAUGGUUUUGCUGUUCCCAUCUUCAUUUUUGGUUGGGUUAACCCAAUUCCUGAUGGUUUUACUCUUCCAUCCUCAUUUUUGGUUGGGUUAACCCAAUUCCUGAUGGUUUUGCUGUUCCCAUCUUCAUUUUUGGUUGGGUUAACCCAAUUCCUGAUGGUUUUACUCUUCCAUCCUCAUUUUUGGUUGGGUUAACCCAAUUCCUGAUUUUUUUACUGCUCCAUCUUCAUUUUUGGUUGAGUUAACCCAAUUCCUGAGGGUUUUACUCUUCCAUCCUCAUUUUUUGUUGAGUUAACCCAAUUCCUGAUUAUUUUGCUGUUCCAUCCUCCCUUCUUGGUUGAGUUAACCCAAUUCCUGAUGGUUUUACUCUUCCAUCCUCAUUUUUGGUUGGGUUAACCCAAUUCCUGAUGGUUUUGCUGUUCCCAUCUUCAUUUUUGGUUGGGUUAACCCAAUUCCUGAGGGUUUUGCUCUUCCAUCCUCAUUUUUUUGUUGGGUUAACCCAAUUCCUGAGGGUUUUACUGCUCCAUCUUCACUUUUGUUUGGGUUAAUCCAAUUCCUGAUUAUUUUGCUGUUCCAUCCUCGUUUUUGGUUGGGUUAACCCGAUUCCUGAUGGUUUUGCUGUCUCCUCUUGGGGCGAGCUGUUUGUCCUGACCCUGUCCCAGCCCUGGGGUCCUCCGCGUGUCCCUCGUGAAGCCACCCAGUGUCUGUGUGGGCAUCUCAGGUGUUGCCUUGUGCUCGUCAGGGCUCCUGGAGCACCAAUCCCAGCCCUUUGGGGGUUUCUGUCGUGUUCUUGCAGUGCCUUGUAAAUCCCAACAACCCCCACGGCCCCGAGGGGCUGGGGGGUCCCAGCUUGUACUGCCAGACUGGACUUUGUAACUGAGGAUUUGAACCCCUGUUUCAAAGGAAAUAAAGAGUUUGACUCUGUGUCCUCUC
ensembl:lncRNA